GACGAACGCUGGCGGCGUGCUUAACACAUGCAAGUCGAGCGGUAAGGCCCUUUCGGGGGUACACGAGCGGCGAACGGGUGAGUAACACGUGGGUGACCUGCCCUUAGCUCUGGGAUAAGCCUGGGAAACUGGGUCUAAUACCGGAUAUGACUUCAUGACGCAUGUUGUGGGGUGGAAAGCCUUGUGCGGCUAGGGAUGGGCCUGCGGCCUAUCAGCUUGUUGGUGGGGUGAUGGCCUACCAAGGCGACGACGGGUAGCCGGCCUGAGAGGGCGACCGGCCACACUGGGACUGAGACACGGCCCAGACUCCUACGGGAGGCAGCAGUGGGGAAUCUUGCGCAAUGGGCGAAAGCCUGACGCAGCGACGCCGCGUGGGGAUGACGGCCUCGGUC
rnacentral:rRNA from 1 species